UACGGGGGGGGCAAGCGUUGUUCGGAAUUACUGGGCGUAAAGGGCUCGUAGGCGGCCAACUAAGUCGGACGUGAAAUCCCUCGGCUCAACCGGGGAACUGCGUCCGAUACUGGAUGGCUUGAGUUCGGGAGAGGGAUGCGGAAUUCCAGGUGUAGCAGUGAAAUGCGUAGAGAUGUGGAGGAAUACCGAUGGCGAAGGCAGCCCCCUGGGAUAACACUGACGCUCAUGCACGAAAGCGUGGGGAGCAAACAGG
rnacentral:rRNA from 1 species